ACGGCGAGAUGAUAUUUAUGUGUUUAAAUGAUCAUAGAGGAAUAUAUAGGAAUUUGUCAAAUUGAGAUCGUAUCACGAUAUACAUCAAGAGAGCACAGGGCUACGUUAUUUGCAUAAUAUUAUUGUUUUUCGAAUGGCAGUGGAAACGUUGGCGAAUUCGUUUGUCUUUCAUAAUAUGAUUUAUAUUCUUUAACGAAGAAACGAGAGUACGUCUAUACUAUCACGUGAUGCUUUUGCAAGAGUUUCAAGUUAGAAGAAAAAAGAACCUAUUAAACUAAUGAAAUUAACAAUCAGGGGUUGAAAACAAUUAUGAUAUUGGUUUUGAUUUUUCAAACAUUUAUGAGAAUCGAAUAAAAUGUUAUAAUUACUCUGGAGAUAAUGAUUUUGUGUGUGUGUGUCUAUAUCGAGUUCGAUUUUAUAUCGAUUCCAUAUUGGUUCCCAUAAUUUAUUUUCAGAUUGUAUAUCUGUUAUAAUGAAAUUCUAUUACAGAGAAGCAAUACGUAAUCGAUGUAAUAUUGGUUUUAAAAUACCGAAACUGAAAUAGAUAUGAUUGAAAACUAUUAUAUCCAUUGCAAUUAUAAUAUCUUGUUCAAUUCUCAUUACCAUUACAGUCAAAACCGUGUAAUUAACGGUUCCAUUAAUUGUCGGAACCACCACUUCAACCCCUGAAUUAGAAAAUCUCUCUCUGGUUUCAACCAAUGUAUUCGGUAUCAAUGAAAUCAUUUCUUUCUCGCAA
rnacentral:lncRNA from 1 species